GACGAACGCUGGCGGCGUGCUUAACACAUGCAAGUCGAACGCUGUGGCGAACGGGUGAGUACUGCGUGGGUAACCUGGCAUACCUUAUGGGUCAAGCCGUGGAAACGGGGUCUAAUACCGAAUACAGGGUGAUGGGGUCGCGUCCUAUCAGCUCGUUGGUGGGUUGAGGGCUUACAAAGGCGGUGCCGGGUAGCCGGACUGAGAGGGGGACCGGCCACAUUGGGACGGAGAUACGGCCCAGACGACUACGGGAGGCAGAAGUGGGGGAUAUUGCACAAUGGGCGAAAGCCUGAUGCAGCGACGCCGCGGGGGGGAUGAAGGCUUUCGGGUUGUAAACCUCUUUCGGUAUCGAACGGGUAGGUGGAGAAGAAGCGACGGCUAACUACGUGCCAGCAGCCGCGGUAAUAC
rnacentral:rRNA from 1 species